rnacentral:rRNA from 1 species
CCUACGGGAGGCUGCAGUAGGGAAUUUUCCACAAUGGACGAAAGUCUGAUGGAGCAACGCCGCGUGCAGGAUGAAGGCCUUAGGGUCGUAAACUGCUUUUAUAUGUGACGCGGUAGCAUAUGAAUAAGGAUCGGCUAACUCCGUGCCAGCAGCCGCGGUCAUACGGAGGAUCCAAGCGUUAUCCGGAAUUACUGGGCGUAAAGAGUGCGUAGGCGGCAAAGUAAGCAGGUAGUGAAAUCGUGUGGCUCAACCAUACUCACAUUACCUGAACUGCUUAGCUAGAGGAUGAGAGAGGUCACUGGAAUUCCUUGUGUAGGAGUGAAAUCCGUAGAUAUAAGGAGGAACACCGAUGGCGUAGGCAGGUGACUGGCUCAUCCUGACGCUCAGGCACGAAAGCGUGGGUAGCAAACGGGAUUAGAUACCCUAGUAGUC